rnacentral:rRNA from 1 species
CCACGGGUGGCAGCAGUAGGGAAUAUUGCUCAAUGGGGGAAACCCUGAAGCAGCAACGCCGCGUGGAGGAUGAAGGUUUUAGGAUUGUAAACUCCUUUUGUUAGAGAAGAUUAUGACGGUAUCUAACGAAUAAGCAUCGGCUAACUCGGUGCCAGCAGCGGCGGUAAUACGGAGGGUGCAAGCGUUACUCGGAAUCACUGGGCGUAAAGCGUGCGUAGGCGGGGUAAUAAGUCAGAUGUGAAAUCCUGUAGCUUAACUACAGAACUGCAUUUGAAACUGUUAGUCUGGAGUGUAGGAGAGGUAGGUGGAAUUCGUGGUGUAGGGGUAAAAUCCGUAGAGAUCAAGAAGAAUACUCAUUGCGAAGGCGACCUGCUGGAACAUUACUGACGCUGAUGCACGAAAGCGUGGGGAGCAAACAGGAUUAGAUACCCCUGUAGUC